ACGCACAAAGGGGACCCGAAGGUCCCCUUUAAUUUGUCGUUGCGUGCUCUUUUUUUAUUAUUGAGGGGCGGUCUAUUGUUGUUUUUGGCAACCGUGGCCCUUUACCGCUGUUUUUGGCGACCCCCAUCCGGGGUCAAGAGCAAACGUAUUUUUUUGAGCGCUGAUCUGCUUCUUCGCACGCGAUCCAACCAGUGGGUAGCUACCUUGAGGUAGUU
rnacentral:sRNA from 1 species